UACGGAGGAUGCAAGCGUUAUCCGGAUUCAUUGGGUUUAAAGGGCGCGUAGGCGGGCUAUUAAGUCAGUGGUGAAAUCCUGCAGCUUAACUGCAGAACUGCCGUUGAUACUGAUAGUCUUGAGUUUGGUUAAGGUAGGCGGAAUGUGUAAUGUAGCGGUGAAAUGCUUAGAUAUUACACAGAACACCUAUUGCGUAGGCAGCUUACUGAGCCGACACUGACGCUGAGGCACGAAAGCGUGGGGAUCAAACAGG
rnacentral:rRNA from 1 species